rnacentral:rRNA from 1 species
GCGGUUGGUAGAAAGGGGCAUUUGAAAGUUAUUAGUAGCUGUACACCUACAGUGUUUGUUGGGAUGGGGCGUUUUGUCAGUAACGCACAUUCUGUUAACAAAAAAAGAAACUCCGACUCUGUUAACCAAAAGUUGGCACACGGGCAUCGUCAAGCCCGCAGGCCGCGGUGUGGCCUGGUGGUGCAAGGCCGGCGGCCCUGGGCCGACGGGGCGGCACUUCCCGUUGUUCAUUUCACCCACGUGCCGCGACCAUGGGUAUCGCCUCGUUCUCUCUGGAGAAGGCCAGAUAUUUUGGAAAAGAGAGAGGCGACAGACCAGAGAGUGGAGGUAGAACCGUAAAGGCCCCGAGGCGGUUAUAUUGGGAGGCGGGAGGGAAAAGAGAGAGGUUGGUGAGGCGGAGCGGAGCGGAGCGGGUCGGGGGGACAGGACAGGACACGCGGGCAGCGCUGUUGGUAGACUGAUUCGUCGCGGGAGGCGCGUCGCCGGGUACCGCGGCCGCCACCCCUAGUUCGCCCGGCGGCGCCGCGUCCGGCAGUGCCACGUCCGCGGCGGCGGCGGCGGGCUGCGCGCCGACCACGCGCUCCGGCACGCCUGGAGGUGCUAGCGGCUCCGGCAGCGGGGGCGGCGGGACGUCCGAGGGCGCGGGCGCGAGCUCCCGAAGGAGACGGAGCUCCUCCACCUCCCCGCCGCCACCUUCAUGCACCAGCUACGUCGGGGGCCCUUCCCGUCCCCGUCCCCGGCCCCGCCCAGGCGACAAGGGGACCCCCGGAGGCAGGCCCGGCACGGCGAGGUCAGCGGCGACGGCGGGCGGCUCCUUUAUUACCGCAAGCAUUCUAGCAUACAACACGGACUUCCCAAAGGUCUGUCACAAUGAGGAAGUAUGCAGGGUAUGUACUGGACCUCUCGAGAGUUCGUAAAAAAACCACCUCGUUACCCACACAAGUGUUGUUCUUGGAACGACUCGAGGCAACCUCAGAGAGUUUCGUUCCAAUGGGGCCCACGAUAACGAUAGUUUGACCUAGGAGUUCCUGCCACGACCUGCACAACCUUUUUACGAAAAACGCGCUGUUCCUUUCUUCAAACUGUUACUGGAUUUCGUCGAGGCGAAAAGAUCACUAGAGAACGACCUCUAUCCGCGACCCUAUCUCAAUCGAUGACGUCGGAAGGGAGUCAAAAAGAACGGAUACCGAACGCAACGUUUACAACAUUUCUUACAGCGACGACAAUGUAGCUGGAGUUGAGCGUGGGGUUAGAUGUUCCGUAUACGUUCUCCUCUUUUAUAACCUCUACAUUGACGAUUCCCGCUUAGACAGCCCUUGUAACGUCUAGACGACCCGUGACCAAACUCGUAGAAAUAGUGUUUCGCCUUGGGUAGCAACCACUGAAGUAAACGGGAGGACAGUACACCUAUAGAGGACUCAAGUAUAGUACUCCACUCCAGACAACACGACUUAUGGGAUUUGUCCCGUUCCAAAUGACAACGUCACCUAAGGAAAUAAUUCUGUCCCAUACAAGGGAGCAACUUCCUUCCUUUGAGCGUCCUCUGUUAUAAAUAAGUAGGAACCGCCGUACUCGGUCAAAGUUAUCCUAGUGCUAAACCUCUUCGUAAAGUUCUUGGGCAAAGUAAACAACGAUGUUCCGGAAACAAACUCCUACUCGCUAUGUACCAUUGUAUAUUGGGUUGUUUCCUAUUUCAUAUACGUAACGAGUUCCUGGUUCGUUUCGGUCUACUGUAAGAGUUUCGACGAAAGGUACGGGUACACAACGACGUAAAGUAGUUACAUAGUGUACUUGCCUUCUCCUACUCGAGGUUAGCUAGUCUAGUGAUACCUUUGGGCGUGGGUGCCUUGUACCUAAAGGACCGUGUGUAGCGUCUUAGGACGUUUUAACACAGUAGGAGAAUACCUUGUAAGUCCUUCUUUCGUUUUCUUGUCCCGACCUAUUACAGUCUCAGUGAAGAAUUGGGACCCUUCCGAGCUAAUACGCAGUGCUCUGGCGUCACUGAAGUGAUAAAGGCAAAUGGUAGCUGCCCUACUAUGGUAGAGAUCGACAAUGAGAUCGAAAAAGCUGCUUCUGCCCUGUACUACGACUACUCAACAACCAUCGACUUGAUUGUACACAACCUCGGGCCGGAUCCACAAUUGGUCACUCGGAUGGUAGAGCACGUUGGGGAUGACGACAUAGUUGAUGUCGACGGCUUUAGGCCCCUGUGGUUCUUCGACAUACGAGCGCGACUCGGUACUCUUCUGACUCCCGCUGGAGGUUGGCGAUUGACGUAUCCUCAUCCAAGGCAUCUCCCUGCAUAUAAAUUCGAACGACCAUCAUCGCAGCGACACUACCUCCUGAACGAUUGACAUACAUCGGACAAGGACUCACCACAAGCAGCCGACGCCUCAGCAAAAGCCUUACAUCCUUCUCGACAAAGGAAAAAACGACACGAAACUCUAUACCACAAGCAGUACGUGGAAACAUCCCGGCGAACAACAUUCAACGUCAAAAAGGCCCACCUCUCACAAAAAUACAGCUACGAACAUGUAUGAUCAUGGACGAACAACAUUA